rnacentral:rRNA from 1 species
AACGAACGCUGGCGGCAUGCCUAACACAUGCAAGUCGAACGAGACCUUUCGGGGUCUAGUGGCGCACGGGUGCGUAACGCGUGGGAAUCUGCCCUUGGGUUCGGAAUAACAGUGGGAAACUACUGCUAAUACCGGAUGAUGACGUAAGUCCAAAGAUUUAUCGCCCGAGGAUGAGCCCGCGUAGGAUUAGCUAGUUGGUGGGGUAAUGGCUCACCAAGGCGACGAUCCUUAGCUGGUCUGAGAGGAUGAUCAGCCACACUGGGACUGAGA